GCCUACGACCAUAUCACCCUGAAUGCGCCCGAUCUCGUCUGAUCUCGGAAGCUAAGCAUGGUCGAGCCUGGUUAGUACUUUUAUGGGAGACUGCCUGGGAAUACCAGGUGUUGUAGGCU
rnacentral:rRNA from 1 species